rnacentral:rRNA from 1 species
UCAUCUCCGGGGGUAGAGCACUGUUUCGGCAAGGGGGUCAUCCCGACUUACCAACCCGAUGCAAACUGCGAAUACCGGAGAAUGUUAUCACGGGAGACACACGGCGGGUGCUAACGUCCGUCGUGAAGAGGGAAACAACCCAGACCGCCAGCUAAGGUCCCAAAGUCAUGGUUAAGUGGGAAACGAUGUGGGAAGGCCCAGACAGCCAGGAUGUUGGCUUAGAAGCAGCCAUCAUUUAAAGAAAGCGUAAUAGCUCACUGGUCGAGUCGGCCUGCGCGGAAGAUGUAACGGGGCUAAACCAUGCACCGAAGCUGCGGCAGCGACGCUGAUGCGUUGUUGGGUAGGGGAGCGUUCUGUAAGCCUGUGAAGGUGUGCUGUGAGGCAUGCUGGAGGUAUCAGAAGUGCGAAUGCUGACAUAAGUAACGAUAAAGCGGGUGAAAAGCCCGCUCGCCGGAAGACCAAGGGUUCCUGUCCAACGUUAAUCGGGGCAGGGUGAGUCGACCCCUAAGGCGAGGCCGAAAGGCGUAGUCGAUGGGAAACAGGUUAAUAUUCCUGUACUUGGUGUUACUGCGAAGGGGGGACGGAGAAGGCUAUGUUGGCCGGGCGACGGUUGUCCCGGUUUAAGCGUGUAGGCUGGUUUUCCAGGCAAAUCCGGAAAAUCAAGGCUGAGGCGUGAUGACGAGGCACUACGGUGCUGAAGCAACAAAUGCCCUGCUUCCAGGAAAAGCCUCUAAGCAUCAGGUAACAUCAAAUCGUACCCCAAACCGACACAGGUGGUCAGGUAGAGAAUACCAAGGCGCUUGAGAGAACUCGGGUGAAGGAACUAGGCAAAAUGGUGCCGUAACUUCGGGAGAAGGCACGC